rnacentral:rRNA from 1 species
AAAGCAUUCAGCUUACGCCUGAAGAUAUCUGCUUAUACCAGGUCGUCUUGAUGCCAGACUCUAGCCCAACCGACAUUGACCUGGAAUAACAAAGCUACUUACCACACCCAACCAAAGCAUUUACUAGUCUUAGUAUAGGCGAUAGARAAGACACCAUCGGAGCGAUAGAGAUCACGUACCGUAAGGAAAAGAUGAAAUAAAAAUGAAACAAGCRAAGCUAAAAACAGCAAAGAUCAACCCUUGUACCUUUUGCAUCAUGGUCUAGCAAGAAAAACCAAGCAAAAUGAAUUUUAGUUUGCCACCCCGAAACCCAAGCGAGCUACUUACGAGCAGCUAUGUYGAGCGAACCCGUCUCUGUUGCAAAAGAGUGGGAUGACUUGUUAGUAGAGGUGAAAAGCCAAUCGAGCUGGGUGAUAGCUGGUUGCCUGUGAAACGAAUCUUAGUUCAUUCUUAAUUCUCCUCCAAGGAAUCCUACAAACCCUAAUGAAGCGAAUUAAGGACUAAUUAAAGGGGGUACAGCUCCUUUAAAAAAGAACACAAUCUCCACGAGCGGAUAAAUAUACAUACCUMAAUCUUACUGUGGGCCCUCAAGCAGCCACCAACAAAGAGUGCGUUAAAGCUCUACAACUCAAAAAUAUGUAAACUCUAUGACUCCCUCCC